AACGCACGAGACCUGCGGACCUGCGGAGGGAUCAUUACAGAUAUACAUUUCAUAUAUCUUCCAACCCCCCUUCAUUGUGAACUUUUGGUGUAAGUCUAGCUAAAGCCCCUAUCUAGAUAGGGGCACUGCCCCUAUUUAAUAGGGGUAGUUAGCCUUACAAUCCAAUUUUUUUCAUAUACACAACUACUUUGAAUGUACUAUGCAUGAUGAUUAUAAUAAAAAUAACUUUUAACAACGGAU
rnacentral:misc_RNA from 1 species